rnacentral:rRNA from 1 species
CCUACGGGAGGCAGCAGUAGGGAAUCUUCCACAAUGGGCGAAAGCCUGAUGGAGCAACGCCGCGUGAGUGAUGAAGGCCUUCGGGUUGUAAAACUCUGUCAUUCGGGACGAACCGGAGUCUGAGGAAAUGCAGACUCUCUGACGGUACCGGAGGAGGAAGCCCCGGCUAACUACGUGCCAGCAGCCGCGGUAAUACGUAGGGGGCAAGCGUUGUCCGGAUUCACUGGGCGUAAAGCGCGCGCAGGCGGUGAUGUAAGUCUGAGGUGAAAACCCGAAGCUCAACUUCGGGACUGCCUUGGAUACUGCGUCACUUGAGGAUAGGAGAGGCAAGGGGAAUUCCACGUGUAGCGGUGAAAUGCGUAGAGAUGUGGAGGAACACCUGUGGCGAAGGCGCCUUGCUGGCCUAUUUCUGACGCUGAGGCGCGAAAGCGUGGGGAGCAAACAGGAUUAGAUACCCUGGUAGUCCACGCUGUAAACGAUGAGUGCUAGGUGUAGGUGGGCUCAUACCCAUCUGUGCCGAAGCUAACGCAUUAAGCACNCCGCCGNGGGAGGUACGGUCGCGACGACGUAGAACGUACGAAAGGAAGUUAGACGGCGUUGAGACGNGCCGACGGACGACGACGAGGGAGGUUAGG